rnacentral:rRNA from 1 species
AGUGAACGCUGGCGGUAGGCCUAACACAUGCAAGUCGAACGGCAGCACAGUAAGAGCUUGCUCUUACGGGUGGCGAGUGGCGGACGGGUGAGGAAUACAUCGGAAUCUACUUUUUCGUGGGGGAUAACGUAGGGAAACUUACGCUAAUACCGCAUACGACCUACGGGUGAAAGCAGGGGAUCUUCGGACCUUGCGCGAUUGAAUGAGCCGAUGUCGGAUUAGCUAGUUGGCGGGGUAAAGGCCCACCAAGGCGACGAUCCGUAGCUGGUCUGAGAGGAUGAUCAGCCACACUGGAACUGAGACACGUUCCAGACUCCUACGGGAGGCAGCAGUGGGGAAUAUUGGACAAUGGGCGAAAGCCUGAUCCAGCCAUACCGCGUGGGUGAAGAAGGCCUUCGGGUUGUAAAGCCCUUUUGUUGGGAAGGAAAAGCAGCAGGUUAAUACCCCGCUGUUCUGACGGUACCCAAAGAAUAAGCACCGGCUAACUUCGUG